rnacentral:tRNA from 2 species
GGAGGGGUUGGGGAGCGGUCAAACCCAGCAGACUGUAAAUCUGCCGCCUCGUGCUUCGCAGGUUCGAAUCCUGCCCCCUCCACCA